AUUAUGUGGCCUAAAGUACUUUUGAUGAUAUAUAAAAGUAUCACUCCCAGCCUAAUUCAAAACUAUCCUAGACCAAGCGAAAAUGAGUUCUAUGAAUUUCGUUCUCUAAGUUGAAGCCUUACAAAUAAUGUGGGAUCUAAAGGUGAAAAUCACUUGAAUUUGGAAGUAUUACUUGCUGCUGGUGGAAAGACCAUUGAAAUGGUCUUUCGUAGAUGCAAAGGUGGUUUCAAAUAUAUGAGGAGCUUUGAAGGACGUUCUCAAAUUUUGUUUGAACCUGAACGUCCAGAGAUAAGCUUUAAAAAAGAAGUAAGCAUAUAUGAACAUUUUCAUGCUUCUGGAUUAACUUACUAUUAUGUUUACUUACAUAAACUAAUCUGUUAGGAAGACUAAAUUAUUUUUCAUGAUUUCAAGCAGUGCCUUUUGAUGGGAUGCAUGAUAUUUCGAAUUUGAUUUAUGUUUUUAUUUUCUGAAUAAUUGAGCAUUUUCAGUGUAUCGUUGAUGUUAACCUUCUGCAAGUUUAUUGAUGUGUCUACCGUUACAUUAUCUUGGCAGGAAUAAACUAUAUUAAUGUGUUAUUUUUAGUUGAGUAUGAUUCAUGGUUAAAGAAGAAGCAAGAAUAAAGAAAUAACCUAACCAAUCGAUUAUUCCAUCAAUUUACAGCAGCACAUAUAAAUGCAGAA